rnacentral:rRNA from 1 species
GGCUUUUUGAUAAUAAUUUAAAGUCUGACCUGCCCACUGAGUUUAUUAAAUGGCUGCGGUAAUUUGACCGUGCAAAGGUAGCAUAAUCAUUAGUUUUUUAAUUGAAAGCUUGUAUGAAAGGUUUGAUGAGAAAAUUUCUGUCUCUAACUAAAUUUAUUAGAAUUUUAUUUUUAAGUGAAAAAGCUUAAAUUUAUAUAGAAGACGAGAAGACCCUAUAGAGUUUUAUAUUUAUAUAUAUUUAUGUUUUUUUAGUAUUUGUAUAUAGAAUAUAUAUUUAUAUAUUUAGUUGGGGUGAUUGAAAAAUUAAAUGAACUUUUUUUUUAGAAAAACAUUAAUUAGUGAAUAUUUGAUCCUUAAGCUUGAUUAAAAGAAUAAAUUACCUUAGGGAUAACAGCGUUAUUUUUUUUUAGAGAUCAAAUUGAAAAAAAAGAUUGCGACCUCGAUGUUGGAUUAAAAUAUAGGAUUGGUGUAGUAGCUAAUCUUUUAGGUCUGUUCGACCUUUAAAAUUUUACAUGAUCUGAGUUUAAACCGGUGUAAG